GCUCUCACGCGCGGCGCUUGUUUGCAGACGGACAAAAACCGAUAAAGGAUGUAAAUGAAUGAGAGGGAAGAGUCUCGUGCACGCAGAGCUUGAACAAAAGCGAACGGACCUCAGUGAAGGAACGCUUUGAGCAACGUUUAGAUUUCUCUACACGUUUGAUGAAUGCACACAGUGUUAGACAGGCUGCUGCAGAGAGGCUUCUGUUCGAACUUUCCUCAAUCACUUUCAUUUAUAGGGUUAGGGCUGAGGAUAUACGCAUUUGUCGCAAGGGACAGCAAUCCAGACAUCUCUGAGCAUGUAUAAUCUAUCAAUACAGUGAGAGAUGAGGAAGGUGUGCGUGAAAAGGAUUGUCUAGAGACACUGAGAUGAAGUCAGAGAUGUCCGGGAGUGCUCCUGCUCUAUUCCUCACAUCUGUGGGCCGCUCUCCUCUGUAGGCCGAGUAGUAUCCUGUACAGGCCAGGAAGGGUGAGCUGUGCUGGGUUUUGAGGAUACCCAACGCCCUCCUUCCACAUUGGCACCUCUGGAGCCUCUUUCAGUAUGAUGGAAAGAGAAAAGAGAAUGGAAAACUGAUACUGGUCUAAUCUCACCUGCAGCCACAUGCUGAGAGACCAUCAGAGGAAUGGUGCUUCACAAGCACAGACGAGACAGAAGACAAACUUAGAUGGACCAGACCUGCUGAUGAGUUCCGCUGUUGUCUUGGAGACUCGAUGAUGUCAUUUUUUAAAGACGUUCAGGAGGACCGAUUGGGUCAAGUCUUACUAGCAGAACAUUUCAGUCCAGUUCUGAUGGAAGAAACACACACACACACACCAUUUCACAAACAUGAGUUUUACCUCUGAUUAUAUGAUCUUGUUCAUUGACUUCAAAUGUAGAAAACUAAAAACAUUCUGGAAAAUUUCCACAACCAUCUGCACAAACACAUGGACGCUCUCUCACACAGGUGAGUUCGUAAAACAAGGUAAGUGAAUCUAAAACUGCACAUAACGUUAUUGUCUUUAAUAUGCUUUGCGUUGCAUUUCAUCAUGUGCAUUUCCUGAUAACAGCUGCAUGUGGUGCAUUGUUUUAUACACACUGUCUCUUCAUGCACUCUGCAUGAAUAAUACAAAUUGUAAAUGAAUAUUUCAAUAACACUAUUGUAGACGUGUAGGCUAAAAUGUUUUUUUGAGUCAUCUGAUUGAAAAAUGAAUACUGUUAAUGAGCAAUUAAAUAUCAGUAAAGCUGUCAUUUAUCAUCUGAGUCUUUGUGAAUUGAUUAUUAAUAAAGCAACUACAUA